UNNAACGCUGGCCGGCAGGCCUAANUCAUGCAAGUCGNCCGGCAAACGACACNANCAAUCCUUCGGGNUGCNUUAAUGGGCGUCGAGCGGCGGACGGGUGAGUAAUGCCUAGGAAAUUGCCUUGAUGUGGGGGAUAACCAUUGGAAACGAUGGCUAAUACCGCAUAAUGCCUACGGGCCAAAGAGGGGGAUCUUCGGACCUCUCGCGUCAAGAUAUGCCUAGGUGGGAUUAGCUAGUUGGUGAGGUAAUGGCUCACCAAGGCGACGAUCCCUAGCUGGUCUGAGAGGAUGAUCAGCCACACUGGAACUGAGACACGGUCCAGACUCCUACGGGAGGCAGCAGUGGGGAAUAUUGCACAAUGGGCGAAAGCCUGAUGCAGCCAUGCCGCGUGUAUGAAGAAGGCCUUCGGGUUGUAAAGUACUUUCAGUUGUGAGGAAGGGGGUAACGUUAAUAGCNUNANCUCUUGACGUUAGCAACAGAAGAAGCACCGGCUAACUCCGUGCCAGCAGCCGCGGNUAAUA
rnacentral:rRNA from 1 species